rnacentral:rRNA from 1 species
GUCCACGCCGUAACGAUGGGUGCUAGGUGUGGGAGUGUCGACUCUCUCUGUGCCGAAGCUAACGCAUUAAGCACCCGCCUGGGAGUACGGCCGCAAGGCUAAACUCAAAGGAAUUGACGGGCCCGCACAAGCAGCGGAGCAUGUGGUUUAAUUCGACGCGACGCGAAGAACCUUACCAGGGCUUGACAUGCACGGGAAUGUCGUAGAAAUACGGCAGCCCUUCGGGGCUCGUGCACAGGUGGUGCAUGGCUGUCGU